ensembl:misc_RNA 7SK 7SK RNA
GGAUGUGAGGGCGAUCUGGCUGUGACAUCUGUCACCCCAUUGAUUGCCAGGGUUGAUUCGGCUGACCUGGCUGGCUAGGCGGGUGUCCCCUCCUCCCUCACCGAUCCCAUAUGCGUCCCUCCCGAAGCUGCGUGCUCGGUCAAAGAGGGCGACCUUCCCCCCAGAGGAGAGAACCGGUCUUCGGUCAGGGGUAUACGAGUAGCUGCACUCCCCUGGUAGAACCUCCAAACAAGCUGUCAAAGGUGUAGAAUGAGACCAAAAGAAGUCAGGCCCAGUGGGAAGGACUUAAGAGAUAAGACUAUGUGGGGACAUUCCUGAGAUC